GCUGGGUGUGGUGGCAUGCACCUGUAGUCCCAGCUACUCAGGAGGCUGAGGCUGGAGGAUCAUUUGAGCCCAGGAGUUCAAGGCUGCAGUAAGCUCUAAUCACACCACUGCACUCUAGCCUGGGUGACAGAGUGAGAUCCUGUCUCCA
ensembl:misc_RNA Metazoa_SRP Metazoan signal recognition particle RNA